CGAAGAACUAAUGACAAGUAAAUGGCGUAACUUUUCUGUGAAUAAAUUGAACUAAUGAAGCGGAUUAAUGCAUAUUUAAAAUUAAUAAUGUGCAUGGCAAAAAGGGAGAAAAACUAAGGCAAGAAUUCAUUUAAAAAACGAAAAACCAUUUUUGUAAAUUGUUUCACUUGGGAAAAUCGACACGCUAAAGCAAAAACCAAAAAGUAAAUAGAGAGAUAAAUUAAAACACACAUUUAACUGGAUAAUUAAUAAAACAAAACAACACUAGACACACGCAAGAAGGAGUUGGAAGGAAGGAAGGGAAACACAACACAGAAGGACACGAAGGACAAAAAUCGAAGAAUUAAAGUCAAAUACAUAGACGUGUAUAUGCUCUCAUUGGUUGUGUUUUUAGGUUAUAAACAAAUAGGUUUGCCUCCGUGUGUGUGUGUGUGUGUGUGUGCCCACACUCACCGCAACGGACAAACAGACGGACAAAACAAUCGUUAAUUCAAUCAAUCAUUCAGCCAGUCAAUCGUUGAGUCGCACCAAAGACUCGUAAAUGUACAGUUCAUUUUGCACAUUGAAAACAAUAUUAAUUCAUAAAUUAAUUAUACAUUAAAUUUAGCCUACGAGAGCUAACAAGAGCGAAGGGGGACUUCCUAGUUAAGUGUAAAUUAUGCUAAUAAUGUCAAACAUUUUGAAUUUGCCUUUUUAAAAACGCGUUUUCUUGCUUUUAGGUGCUCGCCGUCUUUUAGGUUUCUAGCUAAAUAUUUAGUCUGCUUGAUAUACAAACAAAAAACGCAAACAAAUAGUUAUAAAUGUGAAGAAACCGUGUAAUUGAAAUACUGCCACAAACGAGACGAAAGAGUACAUAUUAAAUAGAUAUACAAUUAUUAUUGUAUGCCCAUUAACGAUAUACGAAUUAGUUAGUUAAGUGCAACAAACAAGAAACAUUUUUGGAAGCGUGUCCACAGCCAAGCACUCGACAGUUACAAUGUGGAAGCCAAGAAUAUAAUGUAUAUUUAGGUGCAGCAAAAUCAACUAAUCAAGUAUGCUAGGAACCUGCAGAAGGUUGCUCGAAGUUAACAUUUGUGGCUAAGUACUAACACUAAAUAGAAAAAAAACACUGUACAUAGAACAAAACUAACCCACACACACACCCAGCAAAAGCAGAUGCCAGUCAGCCACGCAUUUCAUUCUUGUAAACACACAGACAGACUACUCACAUACUCAUAAAGAUAAUGAAUCGUUGAAGCAACAAGAAUUUAUUUCCCAGUACAAUUCAUUUCCCCCAAUUACAGUUAAAGCAGACAACGAAAUUGAUAGAUGGAAGAAAACCCCAUAACCCGUAGAUAAAGCACAGGGAAAGACCUUGGCGAAGGGAGUCCGAAGUUGAAGAGAGAUUUCUUCGGCAUGACAACGCCAAGGGCCGACGUUCGAGCCACAAACGUGUUUCAUUUUAAAGCCAAAAGCAAUUGUUUAAGGCCCACAAACACACACUUAGCACUAACAGUAAACAUAAUUAGUUAAACGAGAAAAUAGUAACAAAAAAACAAAACACAAAAAAAAACUUAUGAUGUAAUAAAGUGAAAAUGAGAGAACGUAUUUGAUAUAUAUGCGGCUUGACCCUGAGAUUCAAAAAACAUAAAAUCGUAUGUCUUCCAAAUCAAAGGUCGUCUUUUGUAGCAAACACAACAAGAAUCAAAGUCUGCGUAUUGCUAAACGAAAACAAACAAAAAAAACCAGAAACAACAAACAGUCAAAACGAACAACAAAAUUGGAAGAAAAGCCGCUGUGGAGCUGGUUAGAAAAGAACACACAAAAAACUGUACCACACACACCCUACAGCAACACACACGCACACACCACACACAACUGCACCUGCAAAUUCAUUUACUUGCAAAUACUCGUAAGGAUUAGCAGCCAAAUCGAAACACUUUGGGCAAACUGUCUCUCCACGUUCUCUAACACUCUUCAGUUCCGCUCCCACUCCAGCAAACUAAUCAAGUACCUGACAAUAGAUGAAUUGAAACCUUUCUAGAAUUCUCUCGCCAAAAAGCUCGUCUUGUACAUACAAAAUGACAAAUGUUUCAUCCGAUUUGGCUAGCCAAUUUGCGCAAAGUAAACACACACAAACAAAUAAACACACACAUCAAUUAAUUAUAUUAAAAACGGUUUCAACAGCAGCAAAACACACACAAGACAACAAAGCAAAAACAAAGCGAACAAAUUUCGAGCAACUCUCAUCAUCUCAUCUCCCAGAAGUCAGCAAAGAUUAAUGACAGCAAAAAUGCAAUUAAAACGAAUUUGAAAUGUUUUUUCCUGUAUGUAUAAACCGAACAGUGACAGCACACAUGACUUUUGUAAAAUAUUUCUGAAUACAUAAAUCCCUAAAUUCACUUUCCAGCAGUAGAAUUUUUCGAUGCAUUUUCCAACAGUUUUGCAAGCAGCACCAGAGACACAACAUACACCCCACUCCCCCACAACAAUCAAUGUACUCAAGUAGCUAAUGUAUUUGUAUUUAUGCAACUGUGUGAAUGUGUGUGUGUGUGUGAGCGAACAGGAAACGGAAAUCAAAUGUAUAAAUUCAUCAACUGCAAGCCACUCGAGUAUAUGAACUAUAAACACACAUACAUAUAUAUGUACAUGUGCGAGUACGUAUAUAUAUAUACGGGUAUUUAUAUACAUACAUACAGAUAGUUAUAGAUACUAUACAAUAUACUAUACUAUACACACACGGGUAUGUAUAUUUUUUGUAUUAACUGUUAGGUGCCGCUAGACUGUAAGUGCGCUUCCGUUUGCAAACGUUUUCUUUUGGUUUCUUGUUUGUGUAUUUUACUUUCGGUUCGUUUAAAAGUGCAAAAGAAAUACGACAAGCAGAAGUAAAAAUCAAUUUUAGCAGCAAGAUUUUUAACGUAAAAACAAAUGGUAAUACUUAAACGAAAAUCUUGCAACUCACUGGGGAAAACAACACCACAAACAAUUAAAUGUAAAAGAAAGAAACGAGCGCUAAGGCAUGCGUGUAUGUAACUAACUAAUAUUUGCUCAAAGAAGAAAACCAAAAAAAAAACAAAAAAUAUAUGACUAAUAAAUAUGCAUACAUAUACGCAGCCGCAGCAUUAGAUAUUUAUAGUAUAGAUAUGUGGAAAUGACUCUUAGUUAGGCGUUGGCCGAACGCUCACUAAAAACACAAAACUCUACACCCAGAAUCAGUCUUGACUAAAUUGAAAAUUUAGUUAAUGCAACAACAACAACAAACACAUAACGUAAGUAGGCUAAGGUGCGAAUGGUGUGUAAAAUAUUUUGCAACUAAAACUAAUACUAAAAAUACAAAAACAAAGUUAGAACUAAAUUUAGCCUAAGUCAACGUCGAACACUGCAAAUCACAAACCAGCAAGAACCGAACCGGAGGCUAAUGAAAGAAGACAUUUUGCGCAUCAAAUAUUUCAAAUAAAUGUGUCAAAAAAACAAUUAAAUUAAAUCUAAAACAAAAAGAAAAGAAAAAACGUUGCAUUUACAUUUCACAUAAACAAAGGAAUACCUAACAAUACAUGCAUAAAUAUGAAUACUAUAUACAUAUAUAUAUAUAUAUAUAUUAAAUAUAUAUUCGAAACUCUCUUGAACAACACAAAAAAAAACCACAUUUAACACACAAAGCAAAACACAAACAAGCAACAAGAAAAAUUACACACAGCCGCAGACAGACACUCAGCAGACAAUUGAAAAAUUGAAAAUUAAAAUACUAAAACGAAAAGGAAACUUGAUCAAAUUUAACAAAGCAAACGAAACGAAAAUUCAACAUAAAAAUUAUUAAUACAAAAACAAAUGCUAGAAUAAAAAUAUGUUAACACAACCAAAACAAUUUCAAAAGGAAAUGGGAAAUGAAAAGAACGCAUUCAAAACUUAAAUGUAAGACACUAAAUAAAAAUAAAAGAAAAAAAAAACUAUGCUAAAUGCAAGAACAAACGGAAAUAAUAGCAACAAUUGCGAAUGAAUAACAACACUAAAAUUGAAAACAAUUUAAAAACAAAAAAACCCAAACCAUAAAAAACGAAAAACAAUUAAUAUAUAAAUAAAUGUUACGCGUUAUUAAAUAAAGAAGAAUGAAAUAAUUUGUUUUAAAAAAAA
rnacentral:lncRNA from 1 species